rnacentral:rRNA from 1 species
GUUCGGUACUAUAAAUACUUUACAAAAAAUCGUUGGACUCCGUUAGAAUUAAUACGUCCUCCACUAAUAAAUAUUAACUGUUGCAUCAUGAUCACACCAUUCCGCCGGUGGUGGAGGGAGUACCGCCCCCAGCUGUACGAGUGGAUGAACCAUGCACGGGUAGAACCAGGACGCAAACGGGAAAGAAGGACGAGCGAAGUUCUAGGUAAGUUCACUAGUUCACUAUCGUAUCGAAGAAAGAAGUAACUGGUCCGCUCUAAAGAGUAAAGUAUAAUAGUAGAACCUCUCAAAAAAAUCACUUUAACUUUUAACCUAUAAACCAAUUAAGAAAUUCGUUUAAAGUACGUAAUGGAGUGGCGGUCAAUAAAAAAGACCAAGGCAGCUACUGAUUAACAGCUGCGAGCUGUCCAUCAAUUAGAGGUCAGCGACCGUCUAGUGAGGACACCAUCAAUUGGAAAUAGGAGAAGAGGUAAAAGCACCUUCUAAAUAAAAAGAGCCAAGGAAAAAUUGCCACCGACGUUAAUAAUGCCAGGCGAUAUGAGCAACUGUACAACCCGAGUCCUUUUCGUUGCGGCUCCGACGAAGUCGACAUAUGAGGCAAGUAGCACCAACGACAUUAACGUCAAAACGCACCAGAGACGAGUACGAGUCGGGGCAAUUGACGAUGUUGUAGCCAACGUAGAAGUCGAGUCUUCUUCUUUCGGAUCUAACUCAAACACAAACAGUAUAAAGUUCUUCUUUCAUUAGUACAAAGUGAGCUACAUUUACAUGUUCAUGAACAAUUUCAUGACUACGUAGAAAGGAAGGUAAUAAUUCGUAAUCGUGGCAUUUUAUAGUGGGAGACAGUGCUGCCGGUGUGCUGCUGCGGACAUCGCUGGAGUGUGGUGGUGGUAGUUGUCGCGCUUCCCUACGGUACCAGGUAACUCCCGGGCGUACUGUCACAGACUAAAUCACCCGGACAGCCCGAGCCCGUUGGUGGUUGCUGAGUACGUACGUGUUGUGGCAACGUUCCUACAUAAACCAUGUAAUUUUUUUCCUACACACAAAAAAAAA